GCCAAAAACGUUUUCCCUGUCUACAUGUUGACGCUGAAAAUGGAGUUUCUUAAUAUCUUCACCCUAGUUGGAGUUUUGCAAAAGCUCCGUUUUCAGUGACCUGAGAUGCCGUUUACGUGUGGACAAAAGCCCAAGACUUAUAGAAAAAGUUACGUUUUAAAAUAUACCCGUGUACGUGUGGACAAGGCAUCAGAGUGUCUGAUCAGAUGUCUUUUGUUUUAACAUGAAAUGCGUUUAGCCAGUAGCUCCUGCUUCGUAUCUUUUUUCUCGCUGUUUGUGCCUUGGAAAAGGAUCGCUUGUGAGUUGAAUUCGUAUAUAUAAUCGAUUCUACAAUUACACAGCAGUUCAUAAAACGCGCUUGAUGUGUUAUAUUAAAAUACUUAGUUUAUUUACACAUAAAUGCUGCUGCUGUUAAACUAACAGUGAACGACAGCUGUUUACAUUAGCUACAAGUUAUAUACAGCUAUUUAUACAACCUUUGCAUAUAAUAUGUGUACGCUUAUAAUUUCAUAGCUAUAUACAUUAUCGUAUAUAUGUUUUCUAAAUAGCAUUCAGUGUUUAGUGCUAUGUUUUUCUGUAUUUCAGUUUUACAAAAUGUUCAUGAGAAUGAAGACUAAAGUUGAAUGAUCUUUACUGUUCUCUAGGUUAUGACUUUCUCUGAAGCUUGUUCGCUAUUUGUCGAUUUGUGUACGGAAACAAACACAAUGAGGACAGAAUAACCGAUCUGUUCCAGAUUUUAAUCGAUUUAUAUGUAAGCAUAUGUGACUGAAUCCACGUGUCUUCAUGGUUGCCAAUUUAAACAAUUUUUAAAUGCUAAUUCAUGCUUGACAUGCUAUUCAUAUUUCAGGGUUUAAUAGCGAGAAGUUACUAAGUCUUAGGCCCUUUGUUACCACGGGAAUACCAAAACUACCAUAAAUUAAAGAAAUGAUAGAACAUUAAUUUGAUCUGAAUGUUGAAAGAUUCCUUCCCUUCCCCUCCCUCUAAAUACAUCCAUCAACAUUAGUGGGCAGUGGUGGCUUAAUGGUUAGGGAAGCGCACUUGUAGAUUGCAGGUUCGAAUCCCACUGCCCGGGAUUGAAUUAGCUAUGUCACAUAUGGGUUAAAUGCCGAGGACACAUUUCGUUGUUGUGUGCUGUGGUGUGUCAUCACUAAAUUCGAACUUCAGAGAAUUCUAGUAUAUGAUUGCUCUUGAUUACCAUGGUCGAACAUACUGAAAUAAAUAAUAAUGAGUUGUAAGCAAUAAACACCAGCAACACGCUCUUGAACCAAGCCAAGCACUUCCGGUUACACGAAGCACGUGACGAUCAAACCCAUCUGGGAAACGUUACUCGUGGCAGACGCCAGCUAGCCUUGUCAUGGACUUAAAUCACAUUUGGAGAUGGCCCUUCUUUCCAUCCAUGAAGUUCUUCCAGAACUUGAACUUUCCGGGCCUUUGCUGUCAUCGGUGACAUGAGUUAUCAUGCCUACAAGUGAUCUGGCGUAGAACAGUUCUGGCAUUACGAUUUUUGCGAAAUCCCACACCAUACCUUAAAAGGC